rnacentral:sRNA from 1 species
AUGAGAAGAAUUUAUUUCUCUCUAUGAUUUCUAAUGCUAAUUGGUCCUUGGCAACAAGCUCCUGAGAGGGUCUUUGCUGCUUAUAAUCCUGCAGUGAGCAGAAAAGCAAUUCAUCAAGGCAAUGAACUCAACUCCUAAACAAUUUCAUGUGUUGGAAAUUAUGAAUGCAAACUAGAGUAUGGUGUCACACCAAAGGAGGAAAACAGUCUUCAGCAGCUCUGCGAGGGACAGAAAAACCCCCAUGAGUGCUGGUGUCUGAGGCUGUGAGUGUUUUGCAGAACAUGUGAGGAGUUGAUUUUGUAGGUGUUGUUUCAUUUCCUUCUUCAUCUGCUCCCAAUUCCUCAAUCUCUUUUCCCUCCAUAUACAUCCCUGCCAACUGAGCACAACCCAAGAUUUCAAUCCACCACUGCCCUUCUACUAUAAACAAUGCUCAAGGAAUUUAAUUAAAAAAUCUCAUCCUUCUGGGGAACAAAAAUGAAUCAAAGAUGCACCAAAACAGAAUAAGGACAAAAACCAACCUCAGCCUGGGGAAGCAAAGUAACCUGUGUAUAAACCUCAUCAUUCUCCUUAUUGGCCUAAUCAUAGUGUAAAAAUAAAACAGAAAAGACAAUUAAACCAAACAAAUAGAACCAAUGCAAGGAGGG